rnacentral:rRNA from 1 species
UACGUAGGGCGCAAGCGUUAUCCGGAAUUAUUGGGCGUAAAGAGCUCGUAGGCGGUUUGUCGCGUCUGCUGUGAAAGCCCGGGGCUUAACCCCGGGUCGGCAGUGGAUACGGGCAGGCUAGAGGUAGGUAGGGGAGAAUGGAAUUCCCGGUGUAGCGGUGAAAUGCGCAGAUAUCGGGAGGAACACCGGUGGCGAAGGCGGUUCUCUGGGCAUGUCCUGACGCUGAGGAGCGAAAGUGUGGGGAGCGAACAGG